rnacentral:rRNA from 1 species
AUAGGUUUGGUCCCAGCCUUCCUGUUAACUUUCAAUAGACUUAUACAUGCAAGCAUCCACGCCCCGGUGAGUAAUGCCCUUCGAAUCACACAGGACUAAAAGGAGCAGGUAUCAAGCACACACUCUUGUAGCUCACAACGCCUUGCUUAACCACACCCCCACGGGAGACAGCAGUAACAAAAAUUAAGCCAUAAACGAAAGUUUGACUAAGCCAUAUUGACCAGGGUUGGUAAAUCUCGUGCCAGCCACCCCGGUCAUACGAUUGACCCAAGCUAACAGGAGUACGGCGUAAAGCGUGUUAAAGCAUCAUACUAAAUAGAGUUAAAUUUUAAUUAAACUGUAAAAAGCCAUAAUUAUAACAAAAAUAAAUGACGAAAGUAACCCUACAAUAGCUGAUACACCAUAGCUAAGACCCAAACUGGGAUUAGAUACCCCACUAUGCUUAGCCCUAAACACAAAUAAUUAU